UGGCGGCAGGCUACACAUGCAAGUCGAGCGGUAGCACAGAGAGCUUGCUCUCGGGUGACGAGCGGCGGACGGGUGAGUAAUGUCUGGGAAACUGCCUGAUGGAGGGGGAUAACUACUGGAAACGGUAGCUAAUACCGCAUAAUGUCGCAAGACCAAAGUGGGGGACCUUCGGGCCUCAUGCCAUCAGAUGUGCCCAGAUGGGAUUAGCUAGUAGGUGGGGUAACGGCUCACCUAGGCGACGAUCCCUAGCUGGUCUGAGAGGAUGACCAGCCACACUGGAACUGAGACACGGUCCAGACUCCUACGGGAGGCAGCAGUGGGGAAUAUUGCACAAUGGGCGCAAGCCUGAUGCAGCCAUGCCGCGUGUGUGAAGAAGGCCUUCGGGUUGUAAAGCACUUUCAGCGGGGAGGAAGGCGUUAAGGUUAAUAACCUUGUCGAUUGACGUUACCCGCAGAAGAAGCACCGGCUAACUCCGUGCCAGCAGCCGCGGUAAUACGGAGGGUGCAAGCGUUAAUCGGAAUUACUGGGCGUAAAGCGCACGCAGGCGGUCUGUCAAGUCGGAUGUGAAAUCCCCGGGCUCAACCUGGGAACUGCAUUCGAAACUGGCAGGCUAGAGUCUUGUAGAGGGGGGUAGAAUUCCAGGUGUAGCGGUGAAAUGCGUAGAGAUCUGGAGGAAUACCGGUGGCGAAGGCGGCCCCCUGGACAAAGACUGACGCUCAGGUGCGAAAGCGUGGGGAGCAAACAGGAUUAGAUACCCUGGUAGUCCACGCCGUAAACGAUGUCGAUUUGGAGGUUGUGCCCUUGAGGCGUGGCUUCCGGAGCUAACGCGUUAAAUCGACCGCCUGGGGAGUACGGCCGCAAGGUUAAAACUCAAAUGAAUUGACGGGGGCCCGCACAAGCGGUGGAGCAUGUGGUUUAAUUCGAUGCAACGCGAAGAACCUUACCUGGUCUUGACAUCCACAGAACUUUCCAGAGAUGGUUUGGUGCCUUCGGGAACUGUGAGACAGGUGCUGCAUGGCUGUCGUCAGCUCGUGUUGUGAAAUGUUGGGUUAAGUCCCGCAACGAGCGCAACCCUUAUCCUUUGUUGCCAGCGGUUCGGCCGGGAACUCAAAGGAGACUGCCAGUGAUAAACUGGAGGAAGGUGGGGAUGACGUCAAGUCAUCAUGGCCCUUACGACCAGGGCUACACACGUGCUACAAUGGCAUAUACAAAGAGAAGCGACCUCGCGAGAGCAAGCGGACCUCAUAAAGUAUGUCGUAGUCCGGAUUGGAGUCUGCAACUCGACUCCAUGAAGUCGGAAUCGCUAGUAAUCGUAGAUCAGAAUGCUACGGUGAAUACGUUCCCGGGCCUUGUACACACCGCCCGUCACACCAUGGGAGUGGGUUGCAAAAGAAGUAGGUAGCUUAACCUUCGGGAGGGCGCUACCACUUGGAU
rnacentral:rRNA from 1 species